rnacentral:lncRNA from 1 species
CGAAGUAGUUGUUGUCUCUUCAAGUUGCUCUUGAGGCAUCAAGGUUGGCGAUGCCGGGGCAGGAUCUUUUGCUGAGGGGCCAAGGCCAUCAGUACUUGAUUUUUCGCCAGGCCUCGACAAUUCCAUGUCCAAGGAUUUCCUACAAAAUUGAGAACUCACAAAGCUGAGGAGCAACAACAACGCGAUACAAUAAGCAGUCGUGGAAGAACCAGGAUUACCUGGACAAUCUUCUCA